GGCCCGCACAAGCAGCGGAGCGUGUGGUUUAAUUCGAUGAUACACGAAGAACCUUACCAGGGUUUGACAUGCUAGUGGUAGGGAUCCGAAAGGUGACCGACCCUCGGGGAGCUAGCACAGGUGCUGCAUGGCUGUCGUCAGCUCGUGUCGUGAGAUGUUCGGUUAAGUCCGCUAACGAGCGCAACCCUUGCUGUGUGUUACAUGUGUCACACGGGACUGCCGGUCUUAAACCGGAGGAAGGUGGGAUGACGUCAAGUCAGCAUGGCCUUUAUAUCCUGGGCUACACACACGCUACAAUGGCCAACACAAUAGGUUGCUAAGCCGCGAGGUGGCGCCAAUCCAUAAAGUUGGUCUCAGUUCAGAUUGUAGGCUGCAACCCGCCUGCAUGAAGAUGGAGUUGCUAGUAACCGCAGGUCAGCUAUACUGCGGUGAAUACGUUCCCGGGGCUU
rnacentral:rRNA from 1 species